rnacentral:rRNA from 1 species
UUUUGGUAUUAUACUGGCUCAUCAAGGCUUGAUCUUGUCACAUCACACAAGCUAAGUAGGGCUGGGCCUGAUUAGUACUUGGAUGGGGAACCACUAGGAAUAUCAGGCACCACAGU